rnacentral:rRNA from 1 species
AGUGAACGCUGGCGGUAGGCCUAACACAUGCAAGUCGAACGGCAGCACAGUAAGAGCUUGCUCUUACGGGUGGCGAGUGGCGGACGUGUGAGGAAUACAUCGGAAUCUACUUUUUCGUGGGGGAUAACGUAGGGAAACUUACGCUAAUACCGCAUACGACCUACGGGUGAAAGCAGGGGAUCUUCUGACCUUGCGCGAUUGAAUGAGCCGAUGUCGGAUUUGCUAGUUGGCGGGGUAAAGGCCCACCAAGGCGACGAUCCGUAGCUGGUCUGAGAGGAUGAUCAGCCACACUGGAACUGAGACACGGUCCAGACUCCUACGGGAGGCAGCAGUGGGGAAUAUUGGACAAUGGGCGCAAGCCUGAUACAGCCAUACCGCGUGGGUGAAGAAGGCCUUCGGGUUGUAAAGCCCUUUUGUUGGGAAAGAAAAGCAGCAGGUUAAUACGCCGCUGUUCUGACGGUACCCAAAGAAUAAGCACCGGCUAACUUCGUG